UAUCGACGCUACCCUUGACCGUCUUCUGGUUAAGUCAGCUCCCAUGGUGUGACGGGCGGUGUGUACAAGGCCCGGGAACGUAUUCACCGCGGCGUGCUGAUCCGCGAUUACUAGCGAUUCCACCUUCAUGGAGUCGGGUUGCAGACUCCAAUCCGAACUGAGAUCGGCUUUUUGAGAUUAGCUCCAGGUCGCCCUUUCGCGUCCCUCUGUACCGACUAUUGUAUCACGUGCGUCGCCCUAGGUAUAAAGGCCAUGAGGACUUGACGUCAUC
rnacentral:rRNA from 1 species